rnacentral:rRNA from 1 species
AACGAACGCUGGCGGCAGGCCUAACACAUGCAAGUCGAGCGAACCCUUCGGGGUUAGCGGCGGACGGGUUGGUAACGCGUGGGAAUAUACCCUUUGGUACGGAAUAGCCUCGGGAAACUGAGAGUAAUACCGUAUGUGCCCUUCGGGGGAAAGAUUUAUCGCCAAAGGAUUAGCCCGCGUUGGAUUAGAUAGUUGGUGGGGUAAUGGCCUACCAAGUCUACGAUCCAUAGCUGGUUUGAGAGGAUGAUCAGCAACACUGGGACUGAGACACGGCCCAGACUCCUACGGGAGGCAGCAGUGGGGAAUCUUAGACAAUGGGCGCAAGCCUGAUCUAGCCAUGCCGCGUGGACGAUGAAGGCCUUUAGGGUUGUAAAGUCCUUUUCAGAUGGGAAGAUAAUGACGGUACCAUCAGAAGAAGCCCCGGCUAACUCCGUG